UGGACUGCAAGCCGGAGUUAGCGUACCUGGCUCGGGCCCAGGUGAUCGUGGGUUCAAAUCCCACCCGCCCCACCA
rnacentral:tRNA from 1 species